rfam:Haemonchus contortus, ISE/inbred ISE, WGS project CAVP01000000 data, contig: Hcontortus_21597
GGCCCAAAUUUGAAGUAGGGCAGAUUAGUAAGGCCAGCUGAUCCUACUAUUAUACUGUUCUUCAAAAUUGGGCCC